rnacentral:rRNA from 1 species
UACGUAGGCAGCGAGCGUUGUUCGGAGUUACUGGGCGUAAAGAGUGCGUAGGCGGUUUUCUAAGUUUGGUGUGAAAUCUCCCGGCUCAACUGGGAGGGUGCGCCGAAGACUGGAAGGCUUGAGUAUGGGAGAGGUAAGCGGAAUUCCUGGUGUAGCGGUGAAAUGCGCAGAUAUCAGGAGGAACACCGAUGGCGAAGGCAGGUCUCUGGGCAUUAACUGACGCUGAGGAGCGAAAGCAUGGGGAGCGAACAGG